GGGAUAUUUCCUAAAGGAGGAGCCUAAAGUAAAUUUUCCCAGAAAGGGAAUUGUACAAGCCCAAGGCCCUCAACUAUAGAAGUAAAAAAUAAGUUUUUAGAUAUGUGGGACAAGCUGACCCAUCAUUUAGACGAAACAGACCAGAAAAGAAAACAAAAUGCAGAAACUAGACUAAAAUAUGGGCAUUGCUCCAUGGGCCACCUGGCGGGGAAAAAGAAACAGUCCCUGACCCCCCGGGAAGCCCUGACCACCAUGUACUUUUUGCUAACUCAACUGUUAUGAUUAUAGCCAAAAUAGGUAACAUACACGUAUGCCUCAUUUACUCCACCAAUCACAUCCCUGUAACCAUGCAUCUGCUUCUGUAAGCCUGCUUCUGCUCCCCAAUGCCCUAUAAAAACCCGUCCCUGGUUCUGCUAGGCGCGCCAGUCUUUCAAAUUGACUGGGACGCCCACAGAUAUCUGUGUAUCCUGAUCAAUAAAAAUCCUCUUGCAGAUUGCAGCCUGUGGACUCGGACUGGUCAUUGGGGCUUGAGGAUCUCCCUCCUGAGGGAAGAUUCUCUCUGAGAGUCUUACAUAUGGGGGCUCGUCCGGGAUCGGAGAUCCUCUGCCUAGAGACCACCGACCACCCACCGGGAGGCUAAAAGACCUACAGGUGAUACAGAAAGAAAUCUGCUCACAGCUGACAGCAACCUAUGCCCCGGAGACCCCUGAGACAUGUCAUCAGUUCCAGGUCGGAGACUACAGCUACACUGAGCCCAGACACUCGAGCCUCGCUGGAAAGGACCGUACCUGGUGCUGCUGACCACCCUGACAGCCAUCAAGUCUCAGCCCUCACCAGCAGCGUACUAGCUGUUGGGGCUGAGAGCUGGGACCUAGAGGGACACUCAGAUCUUCAAAAAGCUCCCUAGACUUAAGUGAUUGAGAGGUUGCUAUAAUGCUCACUUGAGGAGUGUGUUUUAGAAACAAGAAUUUCAUGUUUGCCUGUUUGCCCUGGGUUCCCUCGGAAUAGGUGUAAGGAUAGGCUUGAUUUUUAUUACAAAUGAUGUAACAUUACAUAUGUUAGUACUCCUAACACUUCUUGGGACUGUGCCUCAGGGAUCACAAUCUAUAUAAGUUUAGAAGUUCUAAAAGACCUUGGUAUAUAGGUUCAGAUAGUGUCCAGAUUAGAAUCCUGAUGCUAAAGACUUAUAAGACACAAAAGAGAGUUGAGAAUUAUUUAAGGCUAUCUAGGUGCUACAAGGGCAGCACAAGGACAUCUGCUGUUGCCCUAUAAUGCAAGGCUUAUAGAGAAUUCAGAACUGCCAUUGACUCAGAUAUGAAAAGAGUAAAAAAAAAGACUUUUUAGCUGACCUCCAAGAACACCUAACCUCCCUCUCAGAGGUAGUCCUUCAAAAUAGGAAAAGAUUAGACCUGAUAUUCCUUAAAGAAGGAGUCUGUGUGCUACACUAAAAGAAGAAUGUUGUUUCUAUGCAGAUCAGACAGGAAUAAUAAGAGAUAUAGUCUUUCAGUCAUUCAAACUUUUGUGCUGAGACAACAGUAUCAGAUGGUAAAACAACAAAAAACAGAGGUACCUUAACCAAGUUGAGUGGAAGAUUCCACUCCAGGACAAAAAGAAAAUGGGGGAAUGAAAGACCCCCUCCCAGAAAGGGAAUUGUACAAGCCCAAGGCCCUCAACUAUAGAAGUAAAAAAUAAGUUUUUAGAUAUGUGGGACAAGCUGACCCAUCAUUUAGACGAAACAGACCAGAAAAGAAAACAAAAUGCAGAAACUAGACUAAAAUAUGGGCAUUGCUCCAUGGGCCACCUGGCGGGGAAAAAGAAACAGUCCCUGACCCCCCGGGAAGCCCUGACCACCAUGUACUUUUUGCUAACUCAACUGUUAUGAUUAUAGCCAAAAUAGGUAACAUACACGUAUGCCUCAUUUACUCCACCAAUCACAUCCCUGUAACCAUGCAUCUGCUUCUGUAAGCCUGCUUCUGCUCCCCAAUGCCCUAUAAAAACCCGUCCCUGGUUCUGCUAGGUGCGCCAGUCUUUCAAAUUGACUGGGACGCCCACAGAUAUCUGUGUAUCCUGAUCAAUAAAAAUCCUCUUGCAGAUUGCA